UACGUAGGGUGCAAGCGUUAAUCGGAAUUACUGGGCGUAAAGCGUGCGCAGGCGGUGAUGUAAGACAGUUGUGAAAUCCCCGGGCUCAACCUGGGAACUGCAUCUGUGACUGCAUCGCUGGAGUGCGGCAGAGGGGGAUGGAAUUCCGCGUGUAGCAGUGAAAUGCGUAGAGAUGCGGAGGAACACCGAUGGCGAAGGCAGCCCCCUGGGCCAACACUGACGCUCAGGCACGAAAGCGUGGGGAGCAAACAGG
rnacentral:rRNA from 1 species